ACUGACUGCUAUCGGAUUGAUACUAAGCCAUGCUAGUCUUUGUAGUAAUACAAGGCAUACGGCUCAGUAACGCGUAGUCAACCUACCCUAUGGACGGGGAUAAUCUCGGGAAACUGAGCAUAAUACCCGGCAGACCACUUAUCCUGGAAUGGUUAGUGGUUAAAAUGAUUCGUCGCCAUAGGAUGGGACUGCGGCCUAUCAGCUUGUUGGUGAGGUAAUGGCCCACCAAGGCGAUUACAGGUACGGGCUCUGAGAGGAGAGGCCCGGAGAUGGGUACUGAGACAAGGACCCAGGCCCUAUGGGGCGCAGCAGGCGAGAAAACUUUGCAAUGAGCGAAAGCACGACAAGGUUAAUCCGAGUGAUUUCUGCUAAAGGAAUCUUUUGUUAGUUCUAAAAAUACUAGUGAAUAAGGGGUGGGCAAGUUCUGGUGUCAGCCGCCGCGGUAAAACCAGCACCUCAAGUGGUCAGGAGGAUUAUUGGGCCUAAAGCAUCCGUAGCCUGUUCUAUAAGUUUGCGGUUAAAUCUAUACGCUCAACGUAUAGGCUGCCGUAAAUACUGUAGAACUAGGGAGUGGGAGAGGUAGACGGUACUCGAUAGGAAGGGGUAAAAUCCUUUGAUCUAUUGAUGACCACCUGUGGCGAAGGCGGUCUACCAGAACACGUUCGACGGUGAGGGAUGAAAGCUGGGGGAGCAAACCGGAUUAGAUACCCGGGUAGUCCCAGCUGUAAACGAUGCAGACUCGAUGAUGCAAUGGCAUAGAGCUAUUGCAGUAUCGCAGGGAAGCCGUUAAGUCUGCCGCCUGGGAAGUACGUACGCAAGUAUGAAACUUAAAGGAAAUGGCGGGGGAGCACCACAAGGGGUGAAGCCUGCGGUUC
rnacentral:rRNA from 1 species